rnacentral:rRNA from 1 species
CGCCAGCAGCCGCGGUAAUACGUAGGUGGCAAGCGUUGUCCGGAUUUACUGGGCGUAAAGGAUGCGUAGGUGGAUAUUUAAGUGGGAUGUGAAAUACCCGGGCUCAACUUGGGUGCUGCAUUCCAAACUGGAUAUCUAGAGUGCGGGAGAGGAGAGUGGAAUUCCUAGUGUAGCGGUGAAAUGCGUAGAGAUUAGGAAGAACACCAGUGGCGAAGGCGACUCUCUGGACCGUAACUGACACUGAGGCAUGAAAGCGUGGGGAGCAAACAGGAUUAGAUACCCUGGUAGUCCACGCCGUAAACGAUGGGUACUAGGUGUGGGAGUUGUCAUGACUUCCGUGCCGUCGUUAACACAGUAAGUACCCCGCCUGGGGAGUACGGUCGCAAGAUUAAAACUUAAAGGAAUUGGCGGGGGAU